rnacentral:rRNA from 1 species
AUUGAACGCUGGCGGCAGGCCUAACACAUGCAAGUCGAGCGGAUGAAGGGAGCUUGCUCCUGGAUUCAGCGGCGGACGGGUGAGUAAUGCCUAGGAAUCUGCCUGGUAGUGGGGGAUAACGUCCGGAAACGGGCGCUAAUACCGCAUACGUCCUGAGGGAGAAAGUGGGGGAUCUUCGGACCUCACGCUAUCAGAUGAGCCUAGGUCGGAUUAGCUAGUUGGUGGGGUAAAGGCCUACCAAGGCGACGAUCCGUAACUGGUCUGAGAGGAUGAUCAGUCACACUGGAACUGAGACACGGUCCAGACUCCUACGGGAGGCAGCAGUGGGGAAUAUUGGACAAUGGGCGAAAGCCUGAUCCAGCCAUGCCGCGUGUGUGAAGAAGGUCUUCGGAUUGUAAAGCACUUUAAGUUGGGAGGAAGGGCAGUAAGUUAAUACCCUGCUGUUUUGACGUUACCAACUGAAUAAGCACCGGCUAACUUCGUG